rnacentral:rRNA from 1 species
AUUGAACGCUGGCGGCAUGCCUUACACAUGCAAGUCGAACGGCAGCACGGGAGCAAUCCUGGUGGCGAGUGGCGAACGGGUGAGUAAUACAUCGGAACGUGCCCAAUCGUGGGGGAUAACGCAGCGAAAGCUGUGCUAAUACCGCAUACGAUCUACGGAUGAAAGCAGGGGACCGCAAGGCCUUGCGCGAAUGGAGCGGCCGAUGGCAGAUUAGGUAGUUGGUGGGGUAAAGGCUCACCAAGCCAACGAUCUGUAGCUGGUCUGAGAGAACGACCAGCCACACUGGGACUGAGACACGGCCCAGACUCCUACGGGAGGCAGCAGUGGGGAAUUUUGGACAAUGGGCGCAAGCCUGAUCCAGCCAUGCCGCGUGCAGGAUGAAGGCCUUCGGGUUGUAAACUGCUUUUGUACGGAACGAAACGGCCUUUUCUAAUAAAGAGGGCUAAUGACGGUACCGUAAGAAUAAGCACCGGCUAACUACGUG